rnacentral:piRNA from 1 species
UAGAAGUUAAAUAUCCUUUCCAGAUGGGC